CCUACGGGUGGCUGCAGUGGGGAAUAUUGGACAAUGGGGGCAACCCUGAUCCAGCCAUGCCGCGUGUGUGAAGAAGGCCCUCGGGUUGUAAAGCACUUUCAGUGAGGAAGAACGCCUGGUGGUUAAUACCCAUCAGGAAAGACAUCACUCACAGAAGAAGCACCGGCUAACUCCGUGCCAGCAGCCGCGGUAAUACGGAGGGUGCGAGCGUUAAUCGGAAUUACUGGGCGUAAAGCGCGCGUAGGUGGCUUGAUAAGCCGGUUGUGAAAGCCACGGGCUCAACCUGGGAACGGCAUCCGGAACUGUCAAGCUAGAGUGCAGGAGAGGAAGGUAGAAUUCCCGGUGUAGCGGUGAAAUGCGUAGAGAUCGGGAGGAAUACCAGUGGCGAAGGCGGCCUUCUGGACUGACACUGACACUGAGGUGCGAAAGCGUGGGUAGCAAACAGGAUUAGAUACCCCGGUAGUC
rnacentral:rRNA from 1 species